GUGCUCAUUUCAGCACAUACACUAAAAUUGGAACAAUACAGAGAAGAUUAGUAUGGCCCCUGCAUAAGGAUGACAAGCAAAUUUGUGAAGCAAUCUGUUUUU
ensembl:snRNA U6 U6 spliceosomal RNA